AUCCUUCUUCUGUCGCCGCGACCUCUAAUCUCCUCUAAUUUCUUCUUUUUCCGCGGUCCAUCAUUUUACAGACUCGAUCUUCAAUUACGACUUGGAGGCUCUAUGGAUUCUUCUGGAAAGAGAUGCAGAUCUCAUCCAUCAGACUACUAUCAACGAUCGCCACUCCGCUCUUCAUAUAGCUGCUGCCAAUGGCCAUAUCGAGAUUGUCACCAUGCUUCUUGAGAUAUCUGUCAAUCCCAAUUUGUUGAAUCGCUAUAAGCAGGAGACCUUUUUAUCUGUGUUAGCAAGAUACUUAUGUUCAAGAUUAGUUUUGUUAUUUAGAACAUUGAGGUUUAUAACUAUAAAUUUUAUUAGACUCCAUUGAUGCUGGCUGCAAUGAACGGGAAGAUAUUUCGUGCGGAAAAGCUUAUUGAAGCUGGAGCUAAUAUUUUGAUGUUUGACUCGAUUAAUAGAAGGACAUGCCUACCCUAUGCUGCUUACUAUAGUCAUUCUGAUUGUCUUCAAGUCAUUCUUUCAGCCGCUAGUACAUUCAAUGUUGUUGUAUCUUGAGGGAAUUGGGUGUGACAUGGGAUGUGGAUUUAUACGGAGAAUUUCUCAAGAUUGGGGGUGGAAAAGAAAGGAUGACAACUUACUUUAACAUAACUAGUUGGCCAGAUAAGCUCCUAAGGAUGAAACUGAAAGAAAGGAAUUUAUUGCUUAUCUUCACAAAAGGAAGACCGAACUGUUCAUGGUCCUUAUUGAGAAGAAGUCGUUGCCUCUUCGACCAGGUGUUGCAAAGCUCUUACUAAAGGAGUAAAAGUGGCUUUGUGCAGUACAUCCAAUGAGAAGGCGGUCUCUGUAAUAGUUUCAUUCCUAUUAGGACCAAAAAGAGCAGAGAAAAUCCAAAUAUUUGUUGGGAUGUGGUGCCUCGCAAGAAACCUGAUCCAGAAACAUCUUUUUUACCUUUGUAAUUCAACUAGAGACAAAUUUGAAAAUAACAAUAGCUUAAGAUUUAAUAGUAUGCAUCUUUUUUCAUGAAGAUUCAGGAUAACCUCUUUUAUUCUAACCUCAAAUUGUUUCCCUUUGAAAUCAAUGGCAGGAAAAUUUCAAACAAAGCAUACAACUGAGCUCCAACUUCGGGAGAUAAUUUCUAUUGAAAAGAGGGAUGAAUAUGUCAACAAUCUUUUGUUUAAACUCGGUUUGGUCAGUUGUGUUGAUUCCCAUAUUAGGGAUGCAAAAGUGCGAGGAAUUAGUGGUGGUGAAAAGAAACGUUUAUCAAUGGCAUGCGAAAUGAUUGCAGCCCAUCUGCCAUUUUUUGCUGAUGAGCCUACAACAGGACUUGAUGCCUUCCAUGCAGAGAAGGUGAUGGAAACUCUCAGACAAAUGGCACAAGAUGGACAUACUAUGAUUUGCACUAUACACAACCCCCAGGUUCACUUUAUGCCAAAUUCGACGUCAUUGUAUUACUCAUGGAAGGUGCACUAGCCUACAGUGGUGCUGCUCGUGCUGAACCAUUAACUUAUUUUGCAAAGAUGGAUUGGAAGGAUGUGAUCGAUUUGAGUUGUAAUUUUUGUUGAUUGAUAAGGGAGCUGUCGAGACAUCUUCCACUUUAUGCGAAAUUGAAUCUCCUUAAAGUAUUCAUCCUCGAGUUGUCAACUGCAAGAAGAAAAAAUGUGGACACAACAACUAAGUUUUUGUUUUC